rnacentral:rRNA from 1 species
UACGAAGGGGGCUAGCGUUGCUCGGAAUCACUGGGCGUAAAGGGUGCGUAGGCGGGUCUUUAAGUCAGGGGGUGAAAUCCUGGAGCUCAACUCCAGAACUGCCUUUGAUACUGAGGAUCUUGAGUCCGGGAGAGGUGAGUGGAACUGCGAGUGUAGAGGUGAAAAUUCGUAGAUAUUCGCAAGAACACCAGUGGCGAAGGCGGCUCACUGGCCCGGUACUGACGCUGAGGCACGAAAAGCGUGGGGGAGCAAACAGGAUUAGAUA